UUAUCCUUUGGUGUUGACUCAAUAGUAUUUUCCAAAUGACUAUAUUGCCCUCCUCAUUAAAAAAAUAAUUUUGUUUAUCCACUCGCCUUUAGGACUCGUGGUGUAUAGGCUUCUACCUUUCCUCCUUUUGUGUUCGUAUUUCUUGGUGUCCGUUGAGCGCCUGUCCCUUUCCCCUUUUUGUGUUCGUCUAGGGUUUCUCAAAUUUACCAAUUUUCGACACCCAUUGUGUGAUUUGCGCUCGGUGUCCUUGUUUAUCUGUUCAGAUGUGGUGGGUCGUCUAUUUUUUCAUUUUCAUUGUGCAAUCUGUGGAAGAAAGAGAUCGUGGUCUGCAAUCGCAUUGUGUGAAUAGUUGUGAUGGAGAAUUCUUCGUCUUCGCAGUCGAGCAAGGUGACAGUGUUAAUGAAUAUCAAUGACAUCUUGUGUCGUUGUGGUGCACCUUGUCGUAUUCACACUUCAUGAAAUACACAAAAGCCUAGAAGGAAGUUUGUUAGUUGCAGCAAAUAUGAUGGACACACUAAGUAUUGUUGCUUUUUUUCCUGGUGUGAAUUGGUAGAUGAAGUGGAGUAGAAGGAAGAAUUGAAUGCUUUAGUUGCAGCCCAGUUGGCAGACAUUAAGGAAUUGCAGGAUAAAGUUGAGAAAAUGAAGGAUGAUUUGAAUGAAGCUAGUAGGAAGGUUGAAUUGGGGAAUGAAAUGUUAGUGGUUGUGAGGAACAAGAGUGACGAAAAUGGUGUUGAAUGUAGGAAAAUUAGGUUUUUUGUAUGCAUAAUGUUGCUUUUGUUGGUUGCAAGAUUGAUGUAUAGUUCCUGAGGACAUGUUAUGGUGUAUUUUGGUUCUGGUCAUGUAGUUGGUACUUAUGUUUUGUAUCAUUGUCUGCUAGGGUUUUUGUCCAUGGCUUUGUUUACUUUAUUUAAGGACAAAGUUUUAGGAGAUUAUGAUUUUUGUUAUUUAAUUAUUGGGUUUAGUAUGUAUAACUGUUGGUAUUGUGAUGUAAAAGACCUUGUUUUGUUCAAUUGUGAUUAAAAUGUUGUUGUGUAGUA